UACGUAGGGUGCAAGCGUUGUCCGGAAUUAUUGGGCGUAAAGAGCUCGUAGGCGGUCUGUCGCGUCGGCUGUGAAAACCCGAGGCUCAACCUCGGGCCUGCAGUCGAUACGGGCAAACUAGAGUACUGCAGGGGAGACUGGAAUUCCUGGUGUAGCGGUGAAAUGCGCAGAUAUCAGGAGGAACACCGGUGGCGAAGGCGGGUCUCUGGGCAGUAACUGACGCUGAGGUACGAAAGCUAGGGUAGCGAACGGG
rnacentral:rRNA from 1 species